rnacentral:lncRNA from 13 species
AUGCACUCUUUCUGUAUCACACUGUCUCACACACGCACGCACACACACACGCACACAAUAGAAUACAUUCUCCGGAAAAGUCAGUCAUACAUGGUUUUGCAUUUCAUACCAAUUUUCAUCAUCAUCAAACACACUAAACGCCCAAAACAUCCCUCAACAGGAAGUGGGCGCACCGUACCAACAUUAGCUACACCUCUGCAGGCGGCAACCAUUUUGAGUGGACUGAGUGGACAAACACCUUGGUUGCAUCUGAAAACAUUAUUAGCUGUCAAAUCCAUGCUUCCUCCACCCUUGUUAGCUCAAAUCCACUCAAAGCUCAUUGGAGGAUGAGCUUUGAUUUGAAGACCAGUAACAUUUUCUGACACAACCCUACAUGGGCCAAGUUAUCAUUCUGAUUUGAGAGAUUUUUGUAAUGUCCUUGUGUAGAGAUUCUGUCAAACAGAACACUGACACCUCAUCAGAAGAAACUGCUCUACACACAACAGUGGGGGUCACAAUUAGACUGGGCUGAACAGGUCCUGGAUCAGUGCUAGGGCAUAAUGCAGAAUUUAUGAAUGAGUGACUAUAUCUGUUCCCAUAUCAGUGGCCUUCAGUAUAUGGCCUCUAGGUAAGAAGAUACAAGCCAGAUAAUUAUGCUUAUCAUUCUUGUGCCCAGCACAAAGAAUUUAAGUUGUUUAUAACCGUGUAGUAGUGGAGUAUUAGCAGUUUAAUAGGUGUGUAAUAGAUGUACUGUUUAUAAACUGGGUGGCUCGAGCCCUGAAUGCUGAUUGGCUGACAGCCGUGGUAUAUCAGACAUUAUAAACUGGGUGGUUCGAGCCCUGAAUGCUGAUUGGCUGACAGGUAUAUCAGACCGUAUGCCACGGGUAUGACAAAACAUGUAUUUAUACUGCUGUAAUUACAUUGGUAACCAGUUUAUAAUGGCAAUAAGGCACCUCGGGGGUUUGUGGUAUAUUGCCAAUAUACCACUGUUAAGGGCUGUGUCCAGUCACUCUGCGUUGCGUCGUGCAGAGAACAGACCUUAGCCGUGGUGUAUUGGCCAUAUACCACACCCCCUCGGGCCUUAUUGAACGAUGAAAGUCAUAUUUUGUCAGAACGUUUUACUACUUGAGGUCAGUUUGGGCUCUUUCUGGGUUAUGGUUACAGUUGCAAGUGCUAUGUACAUACAGAUACUCUCAUAGACAUCACAAUACUUUCAAACAGACCUCUGUCCCUCUGCUACUACAUUCACCUCCAAAUCAACAGUCUCGUCAUCAUACAAUACAUAUUUGCUCCACUUGCAUUGUGCAGAAAUAUAAACAAACUAACAGAUGUGUUAUAGAUAUUAAAUCAACAGUCUAGGUUGAUGACUUACAGAAACUGGGAGAAGUCCAAAUAGGACAGAUUGAGAGUGGACACUCGUAAAAAGCAGGUGGUUUUGAGUGUGCACUUAGUGCCAUCAUUAAAGAAGCUUUACACAAAACACCCCUUUCCUCUGGCAGCUAGUCAGGAGAGUCUUUAAGGGAUGAGGCAGAGUUAGAAGAUGGGAGCACACACACAACUAAAAUAGUAGUGGGUCGUUAAGGACAUUUCCCUUUAAAUGAUUACUUACUGGCAAUACUGCUUUUCAGGCCAAAUGGGUGGAUUUGACGGUGUCUGUCUAAAGAUAUUGAAUGCUGGGUUUUUUUGUUGUGAGAACAAAAGGGGACAUAUUUUUGUCUCUCUCUUUUGCUACAACCAAGGUGAAACAUUUCUAUACAACACAAAACAUAAGGAAUAAUGUAACUUAGAUUUUUUUCUACAGUUCACAAUAUAAAAAUUCAAGUGCAAUUAAAGUUCCAAAUAUGAGUUACAUCACAUACAUUUCUCUCUAUAGCAACGUCUGUUACUUGCAGGUAGUUUUUUUCAUCUUGUUAUAUAUCUUUCAAAAUAAAAUUAAAAAGCGACUUUUUUGAAAAUCAAACUUAUUCGUUCACUGUACUCAGUUUGAGGUGGAAUGGUCUUGGAUGCUGAAAUUAGAAAUGUCUUUCGAAACGAUUUCCCAUGUGAAAAUGUGGAUGUAAAAUAUGAUUUAAGUGCACCAAUCGUUUUUUUUUUUGGGUGCACGCCAGGGGCCUUUCAAAAUAACAAAAUAAAGAUACAUCAAUGUACCUGCGUGUGACGUCACUCUCGCACACCAUCUACGUGCACAUACGUAUGCUCACACAAACACAAAUAUACAUACGUACAUACAUACACAUACAUUUGACUUGUAGCCAACAUGUCUGUAUACGUACAUAUAUAUCAAACAUCCAUGUUGUGGGCUUCUGCAAGUUCUAACACAUAUAAAUAUAACCAAAACCACAACAACAACACAAAAACAAACCAAACCAGAAGUACAGGGGGAAAGAUGGAAAUGAGGACUGCAGACAAAAAGAGGGAGACGGUUCUCUGUUCCUGUGCAGGGAAUGCUGGGAUAGCGAGCACGAGGAACUCCUGGUAGGGUUGGGGGUGUAAGAGAAGUAUAUUGGUGUAGAAGAAGUGUUUCAGAGUAGAGGGGGUGUAGAAGAGAGGGAUAGAUUGGCGGGUUGGGUUGUAGGAGAGAUGUAGGGGUAUAGACGUGGGGGAGUAGAAGACAUAUGAGGAUGUUGACAGGGGUAAGGACGUAGGUGAAGAGGAGGGAGGAGUAGAUGGUGGAAAGGGGACGUUGGAUAAGCAUAAGGGGUAAGCGACUGGGUAA